GUAAAUGAUCGCGGCUGGCUGUCCGAAAGGUGUCAGACGAGGAAAGUCCGGGCUUCACAGGGCAGGAUGCCGGAUAACGUCCGGUGGAGGCGACUCCAAGGAUAGUGCAACAGAAAUGAACCGCCUUCUUGGAAGGUAAGGGUGGAAGGGCAGUGUAAGAGACUACCGCCCGGCUGGUAACAGCCGGGGCAUAUGUAAACCCCAUUCGAAGCAAGACCGAAAAAAAGCAUAUGGCGGCCCGUCAGCUUUAGGUAGGUCGCUUGAGCCUGGCGGCAACGCCAGGUCUGGAUAGAUGAUCAUUCAAGACAUAACCCGGCUUAUCGCUCUGCUCAU
rnacentral:RNase_P_RNA from 1 species